rnacentral:rRNA from 1 species
GACGAACGCUGGCGGCGUGCUUAACACAUGCAAGUCGAACGAAGUGGCGAACGGGUGAGUAAUACGUGCGUAACCUGCCCUCCUUUUUGGGAUAAGCCUUGGAAACGGGGUCUAAUACCCAAUACAGGGGGAUGGGCUCGCGAGCUAUCAGCGUGUUGGGUGGGUGAUGGCCUUCCAAGGCGGUGACUGGCAGCCGGCCUGGGAGGGUGACCGGCCACAUGCGGACCGGUCUACGGCCCAUACGCAUACGGGAGGCAUCAGUGGGGGAGAUUGCACAAUAGGCGGAAGCCUCUUGACGCGACGCCGCGUGGGGGAUGUAGGCUUUCGGGUUGUAAACCUCGUUCGCUAUCGAACGGUUAGGUGGAGAAGAAGCGCCGGCUAACUACGGGCCAGCAGCCGCGGUAAUUC